GCCGCUGUCCGAGACCCGCGCGCGCGUGUCGCUGAACGCGCACGCGGGCCGUCUGCACGCGCUGCCGCUGCAGCUGCUGCGCGCCGCGCCCUACGCGUGGGCGUCGGUGCCGCUGGUGCUGGAGAGUAGCAUGACGCUGCCGAUGCGUGUGGUCAGUGUCACGUUGCCCGCCUCCGACCCUGCUGUUAUGUUUGAGGCGGUACCGGAAGGGCAGGCGCGCGAGGUGACGCCCGGCCGCCACGUGGUGGGCAGCGUCAUGUACGCGCCCGAGCGGCGCUGCCAGCCGCGCUGCUACACCGGCCUGGACGUGGCCGCGCCCGAGGGCGCGGCGUGGCUGCGGCGCGGCGCGGG